rnacentral:rRNA from 1 species
UUUUUGAUUAUAAUUUAAAGUCUGGUCUGCCCACUGAUAUAAAUUAAAGGGCUGCAGUAUUUUGACUGUACAAAGGUAGCAUAAUCAUUAGUCUCUUAAUUGGUGACUUGUAUGAAAGAUUUGAUGAAAUAUAAACUGUCUCUUUAUAAUUUAUAAAAUUUAAUUUUUUAGUAAAAAAGCUAAAAUAAUUUUAAAAGACGAGAAGACCCUAUAGAGUUUUAUAAUUUGUUUAAUUUUUAAUUUUUAUUAAUUUUUUAUUAAAAAUUAAAUUAAUUAUUUUGUUGGGGUGAUAGAAAAAUUUGAUAAACUUUUUUUAAAAAAUAAACAUUUAUAAAUGAUAAUAUGAUCCGAUUUUAUCGAUUAAAAGAUUAAAUUACCUUAGGGAUAACAGCGUAAUUUUUUUUUUUAGUUCAAAUAAGAAGAAAAGUUUGCGACCUCGAUGUUGGAUUAAGAUAAAAUUUAAAUGCAAAAGUUUAAAAUUUU